UCAGGCGUUAGAUUAUUGAGAGAACUGUUGCUUAGUAUGAGAGGACCGGGAAUGACACACUGCU
rnacentral:rRNA from 1 species